UAUAACUAGAGGGUGCACUGUACUAUCUGCGCUCACCCCUUCUGAAGCUUCUCUCUCUCUCGCUCUCUCUCGUUUGUGCGCAUGAGCACGAAAUUGCGUGAUACCGGGUUGGUAUGACGUACGCUAGGCCUACACAGCAUGCAAGGCUAGCUGCGUUGUGAGAGUUACUGUGCGUUUACACCAAAAGCGAAGCAAAUAUUCACCCUGCGUUUUUGCGAGUGUUGGAUCGCGCCGUCUUCAAAACCCUGACGAGCAACUCCAAAUGUAUUCCGAUCUCUCCCGGUGGCGGCGACGGCGGCAGUGCUAUCGAUCUUGGUUCCGGGGAGGUGAGAGAAUGAAUGGCCGCUGAGCAGAGAUCAUCUCUGAGGCUUGAGUUUAUUCCCGCUUCCGCCACUACUGCCACCACCGCCACGACCGCAGCACCUCCACCACCACCACCACCGCAGCACCUCCACCACCACCACCACCGCAGCACCACCACCUCC
ensembl:lncRNA